rnacentral:lncRNA from 10 species
CUGGUGUGCAACUGAAGGGAGGAGGGAGCAGGCGUUCCUCUGCUGCUGAAGAGGGCUGUGGAAACUUAAGUCAUAGACAUGCUUCAGUGAGAGGAUGAGGAUUUGCCCAGAUGGGAAGCUUCAAGUGCAGAGGCACUUGUACAUCUACUUAUCUUGAGUCUCAAUGAUGCUGUUUAUGAGUGAGCUAUUCAAAUGGAGGAAGAAACCCACGGAGAAGGAGAAAUAACAGGUCGGAGUGAUUAUGUACAGAAGGAUAGGCUCUAGCAGGAGUCCAGUGGGAAAGAAGGAAGGGAAUACAAUUAAGAAUUAUUAAUGGCAGAUCUCUAAUGAUUUCACUGGAUCCAAAGGAACAGGGCAAUACUGAGUAAGAAACACUUGAUAUACGAAAAAAGCGUGAGUGCGAAGGAAAAUACAUCAUUCUACAGAUGUUGACGGACUCUGACGGUGGGAAAGCGUCCCUCAAGAUUGAAUUGGAGUAGAAGCUGACCCUCCCACUUGCCCAGAGAUCCCCUAGCUGCAGAAAAAUCAAACGCCCAGAGAGGUCAAGAUGUCUGCAAAGAGACACAGAGUGAUGCAAUGGAAAUCCUGUGUGGAGGUCUCCAGAAGGCUAAUUUCUGAAGCAGUGUUCUAUCCACAUGACCGUGCUGCUGCUCAUUAAGAUGGUACCUCUCAUUAAGAUAAAGCAUAAUCAUUAAAAAUCCUUUAGCUUGCUCACAUUAACUACCAUUGUGCGUCACAGGUCUAAUGCUUCAUGAAAGCUCAGAGUGAAUUAGACAUUUUAUUUAAGUGCUACUUAACUAAAAGUUAAAAAGUAUAAUUUUCUAUUGCAGCAUAAGAACUGGAGAGACUAAUUUGGUGUGGUUGUUAAAUUUUACAAAGCCUGAUUCUCAAUUUUCAAAAAAUAUUGUACAUUUAUUUAUUGAAGUGAAUGAAACAUUUGCUAUAAAACUAUUCAACGGAAAGUUUUUUAACAAAGCAUAAUUUACUUUUCAUUUACAGAACAAUGGAAAGUAGAAAGAAAUCUCCUCCAAGGUAUUAGAAUCAUGUACAGUUUCAUAUUUGACUAAAAAAUUAUUUCCCCAGCCUGUUUUCUCAACACUAAGGAUAUGCAGAAAAGUAUCACUUGCAUUCAUCAUGAAAAUUACAGAAAAAUGACUGAAACUACUGAGAACAUUAUUAAAUAAAACAUAUACUUAUUAUCUGU